AACUUAAGAUUCAAAUAUAAAGUAAUUUUUAAACUUUUAUUAAAA
rnacentral:tRNA from 1 species